GCGGGAAUAGCUCAGUUGGUAGAGCGCAACCUUGCCAAGGUUGAGGUCGCGAGUUCG
rnacentral:tRNA from 1 species